CAGAGUCGGUUUGAGUUGCAUGACUGACAUCUUCUGGCUACAGUGGAUAUUACAGAAAGACUGAAACUCCGCAAAAGUGUGUUUGAAAAAAAGAAAAGCACCCUGGAAUUUGGAUCAUUAAGUAUCUGCCAUUUAGAAUGUGCCCACAACUGCCAAAUCAAUAAUAGAAUAAAGCAAGGGGAAUCCCUGAGUCUUCAUGGAGUAAGAGCCACACCUUCUUAAGGGGAUCAAGGGGCAAAGUGACUUGAAGACAAUAUUAUCAUGAUAAAUAAGGAAAUAAGGGAAAGUGUGGAAGGUUUUCAUCUCAAUGGACAUGAAAAAGUGUGCAUUAUUAGAGUUGAGUGCAUUUAAUAAGCCAGGAUUAUCUCCUAGAGUUGCAGAGCAAGACAAAGCAAGUAGAGUCGGUAUCUGGAGACCUUUUUGCAAAGAAGAGACAAGCUCUCUCUAGGCUAUAUCACUAGUCUCAACUUCCUGGGCUCCAGCCAU
rnacentral:lncRNA from 1 species